GCAGUCGUAUAGAAAAGAAGAGAGAACAAAGAAGCAAUGACAACUUGUUAGAGAACCAUACGAGAAGCUUUAAGGCAGGUAUCCGUUGACACACAGUCUUUU